rnacentral:rRNA from 1 species
GUACUGUGAAGGAAAGGUGAAAAGAACCUCGAACAGAGGAGUGAAAGAGACCCUGAAACCAUGCGCCUACAAGCGGUCGGAGCAUGUUAAAAUGUGACGGCGUGCCUUUUGCAUAAUGAACCUACGAGUUACUCUCGCUGGCAAGGUUAAGCGAUUCAGUCGCGCAGCCGAAGCGAAAGCAAGUCCGAACAAGGCGUACAGUCAGCGGGAGUAGACGCGAAACCAAGUGAUCUACCCUUGGUCAGGUUGAAGGUUGGGUAACACCAACUGGAGGACCGCACCCACGCCUGUUGAAAAAGUCGGGGAUGACUUGUAGCUAGGGGUGAAAGGCCAAUCAAACUCGGAAAUAGCUGGUUCUCCGCGAAAACUAUUUAGGUAGUGCGGUGAGCGGACACCUUGAGGGGUAGAGCACUGAAAGAGCUAAGGGGGAGCGAUCCUUACUAAACUUUAUCAAACUCCGAAUACUCAAGAGUAAUACUUGCCAGACAGACAGUAGGUGCUAAGGUCUAUUGUCGAGAGGGAAAGAGCCCAGACCGUCAAUUAAGGUCCCAAAAUUAUGGCUAAGUGGUAAAGGAAGUGAAUUGUCCAAAACAGUCAGGAGGUUGGCUUAGAAGCAGCCAUCCUUUAAAGAGUGCGUAAUAGCUCACUAGUCGAGUAUCUCUGCGCCGAAAAUGUACCGGGGCUAAACAUAUUACCGAAGUUAUGGAUUUAUAAUUUAUUAUAAAUGGUAGGGGAGCGUUCUAAGGGCGCUGAAGGUAGAUCGUGAGGACUACUGGAGCGCUUAGAAGUGAGAAUGCCGGUGUGAGUAACGUAAGGUAGGUGAGAAUCCUACCCACUAUUUGACCAAGGUUUCCAGGGUCAAGUUCGUCUUCCCUGGGUUAGUCGGGACCUAAGGCGAGGCUGAAAAGCGUAGUCGAUGGACAACAGGUUUAUAUUCCUGUACUGCUUAUAGGACUGAUGGAGUGACGGAGAAAGCUAGGAAGAGCCAGUUAUUGGAUUCUGGUCUAAGCGUUUAGGUUGAUGCACAGGAAAAUCCGUGAUAUCGAUAAGACUGAAGCGUGAUGGCGACGUGGUCUACGGACCGCUAAGUCUUCUGAAGCUAUGCUUCCAAGAAAAACUUCUAAAGAUAUGUUAUAAGUACCCGUACCUAGAACCAACACAGGUGGUCAAGGAGAGAAUCCUAAGGUGAGCGAGAGAACUAUGGUUAAGGAACUCGGCAAAAUUACCCCGUAACUUCGGAAUAAGGGGAGGUUUCUUCGGAAACCCGCAGUGAAUAGGUCCAGGCAACUGUUUACCAAAAACACAGGUCUCUGCUAAAGCGUAAGCUGAUGUAUAGGGGCUGACGCCUGCCCAGUGCUGGAAGGUUAAGAUGAUUUGUUAGGUGGACGAAAGUCGAUAACACCGAAGCUUUGAUUUGAAGCCCCAGUGAACGGCGGCGAUAACUAUAAUCGUCCAAAGGUAGCGAAAUUCCUUGUCAGGUAAGUUCUGACCCGCACGAAAGGCGUAAUGA